ACAUGGUAUAAUGGCUUUGAGCCCUGGCUUGGGUUUCUGGGCUCUUAUUAGCUGUGUCACUUGGGAAAGACCCUUAACCUUCCUAAGCUUCAGUUUCCUUAUUUUCAAAAUGCAGAUAUUCAUAGUACCUACUUUACAGGAUUACAUAAGGAUUAAAUGAGAUGAUAUAUGUAAAGCCCUUAGGAUAACUGCCUGGACCAUGCCUAUUUUUUGCAGGGCCUGGUACCUAGAAAUUGCUCAGAAUAUUAUAAAAAUUACCGAGUAGGAUGACCCUACCCACUUGUGAAGGCCAGCUCUACAGUGGCAUUCAAUGCUAUCCAAAGGAUAUUGACAUCUUGGACAUGGUCCAGGUUGAAGGUCUCACUAGCCAGAUUGUGCAUUGCUGCCAUUAGGGACUGCCAAGACUGGCCUGGAGACCUCAUGAUGCACCAAGACUGGGCCUGCUGCUAUUCCAGUGAAAUCAGGUUCUGUCAUAACAGGUUUUCCUUGGGAGAAAAGAGCCAUGGUCAACUAAGUUUGGGACACAGAUUUUAUUUGAGAGUCAGAAGCAUAAGUGGCAAUAAGGACUCUGAGAGCAAGAGAAAUGUGAGCUGUAACUUCACUGGGGCAACAAGAGACCAUAAUUAUCACACGGACAGCAAGACACUAAGGAGUUGACCCUGCAAACUGCAUCAUCCAGGAUCUUUUGCCCUCUGGCUUCCACCAUGGUUCAGUCGACAAGAGGUAACCUAUCCCCACCACCGCAAUGCCAAGAGCCUAAUGGUAGCUCCCUCUAUAACUACAGCUUCUGAUGGGCAGCAGCCUUCCAUAGCACUGGCUCAUGCCAGUCUCCCAAAAUAUUGCUGCCUCCCCUCACCUAAGAGUAGUAACAGCUUCUGGAUGCCUGGCGCCUCUCAUCACUUGUUGGUUUCCUCAACUGCAUCCAUACUUCUAGAAAUAGUCCAUUAAAUUCUCAUCAGAACCUAAUAGGAGAAUGUACAGUAUUCUGUUUCUGGCCAGGCCCCUGACUAAUAAAAUAAAUAUUUAUUAUAAGGUAGAGAGGGAGGGAAUAGAGUCCCAGUUUUGAGCCCCUACUAUAGGCCAAGCACAGGCACUGUUUAUAAAGAUAUUCAAUAAAUGCUGAUAAAUCUGAACAAAGGGGUAUGAGAGAGGAUUAAAAAAAAAACAGAUGUCACAAGAAUUUGAGACACAGGAAUCAGAUCCUUUCCAUCAGAUGACCCCCUUUCCCUAAUAUGGAAUGUGAACAGAAGAAAGAAACUCAGGAUUGAUUUAGUCUGAACAACAAAAUGCUAGCAUGUAUUAAGAUGUAAAAUAUCGUUCUCAGUUUUAAUGCAAUUCAAAGAGAAACGAUGUGGCAAGUGCAUGAUUUUUCUCUCUGCCAUUUAAUAUAGUUGGGUAUAUAGUGGACGUGAGUGGGUAUAACAUCAUUAAUGGAAUGACUAGUAUUCUCAAAUGCCUAACCACUUUUUGGAAUGAUUUACAAUUUUCUUUUUUUUAUGUUUAUUUAUUUUUGAGACAGAGUGUGAACA